GGAGUGUGUAGGGGGCGGUUUGGGAUUCAGCCCAGAUGUCUCAAGACGGAGUCAGCGGCGGCGUCACUUGGCGGCCAUCUUAGGACAGGGGACUGCUCUGGCGCACUGUACUGUAGUCCAUGUGGCAGCCAGAAGUUUAGAGAAGUGGAAGCUCCUCGCUGCAGUCCUCAAACCAGCAGGAUAAAAUUGUGAAGAUUACAAUAUAAGUAUAAACCAUAAAUUAAGAAUAGUAAGACACUAAAUAACCUUUGACUAAAAAGACAGCUAGCAGACAAUUUUCAUGCCUGAGAUUUAGAAAUAAAUUCAAAAGCUUAACAUGAUACUGUGCAGCUCGUUAGAGAUAUUGGUCAUCAACCUUUGAUCUUGUUUUUU